rnacentral:rRNA from 1 species
GAUGAACGCUGGCGGCGUGCCUAAUACAUGCAAGUCGAGCGAACAGACGAGGAGCUUGCUCCUCUGACGUUAGCGGCGGACGGGUGCGUAACACGUGGAUAACCUACCUAUAAGACUGGGAUAACUUCGGGAAACCGGAGCUAAUACCGGAUAAUAUAUUGACCCGCAUGGUUCAAUAGUGAAAGACGGUUUUGCUUUCACUUAUAGAUGGCUCCGCGCCGCAUUAGCUAGUUGUUAAGGUAACGGCUUACCAAGGCAACGAGGCGUAGCCGACCUGAGAGGGUGAUCGGCCACACUGGAACUGAGAAACGGUCCAGACUCCGACGGGAGGCAGCAGUAGGGAAUCUUCCGCAAUGGGCGAAAGCCUGACGGAGCAACGCCGCGUGAGUGAUGAAGGUCUUAGGAUCAUAAAACUCUGUUAUUAGGGAAGAACAAAUGUGUAAGUAACUAUGCACGUCUUGACGGUACCUAAUCAGAAAGCCACGGCUAACUACGUG